UACGUAGGGUGCGAGCGUUGUCCGGAAUUACUGGGCGUAAAGAGCUCGUAGGCGGCUUGUCGCGUUGUUCGUGAAAAUUUACCGCUCAACGGUGAACUUGCGGGCGAUACGGGCAGGCUAGAGUACUGCAGGGGAGACUGGAAUUCCUGGUGUAGCGGUGAAAUGCGCAGAUAUCAGGAGGAACACCGGUGGCGAAGGCGGGUCUCUGGGCAACAACGUGACGCUGGAGGAGCGAAAGCGUGGGGAGCGAACAGG
rnacentral:rRNA from 1 species